rnacentral:rRNA from 1 species
UACGUAGGUGACAAGCGUUGUCCGGAAUUAUUGGGCGUAAAGAGCUCGUAGGCGGUCUGUCGCGUCGAUCGUGAAAACUUGGGGCUUAACCCUGAGCUUGCGGUCGAUACGGGCAUGACUGGAGUUCGGCAGGGGAGACUGGAAUUCCUGGUGUAGCGGUGAAAUGCGCAGAUAUCAGGAGGAACACCGGUGGCGAAGGCGGGUCUCUGGGCCGAUACUGACGCUGAGGAGCGAAAGCGUGGGGAGCGAACAGG